UAUACAAAAAUCAAUAAUAAUGUUUUUCUGUCAAACAUUAGAAGAAGAAAAAGAAUGAGAUUCGAUUGUAUCUCAAAAAGAUAGAGGAUAUAAAUCAGAUAUCAAUUCAGUCAAAAAAUAUUCAAUAUGAAGAUGAGCCAAAGGAAUAACAAACCUAAGGAAUCUGCUUCUAUUAUCAUAGCAAAAAUGUGUUGCCCAAAUGCUGCCAAAGAUGCAUUAGCAUUAACGAAACAAUAUAAAUCUCGAAUGCAAAUUAGAAGUGAAGACGGAUUAUUUUAACGGAAGCUUUCUUAAAACGACAAAUGUUGAAGAGGCCAAUUUUCCUGAGAGUCAUCGUAAAACUCGUCGUGGAAAAAUGAUACGAUCACCGACAAAAGAUCUGACCACGGCCUUGAAGAAUGCGCAUGGUACGCAUAUUGACGAUUGUGCACACGUCGCACGGCUUGUCGCACGUAAUGCUUGUCAAGCCACUCUGAACCGAGCCCAGGUGUGGGGAAUGAUCAAUAAAUUCGAAGACGCGACGUCGUACUGGCAAGUAAGCAUUCCGCAGCGUUAUCUGGAAGUUCUCUAAGCGAAAAGACAAGUCAAAGAGACCAAGAUGCCGGGACCAGGAUGCGACAAAGACAAGUGCAAGGAUUGCAAAUGCGGUAGCAACUGCCCGUGUAGCGCCUCCGAAUGUAAAGACCAAUGUGGCUGCAAGACAAGCGGACAAUGCACGUGCAAAUAAUCUACUUGCACUUAAUUAAUAAUUAAAAAAUACCAUAUGUAAUAAUCUAUAUUAAAAAUGAUAAACUCGUAAUAUGUUAAAGUAAAUCCAAUAUGUAGAUAAAAUUGGGAGUGCUUUAAUAUUAUUAAAGUAUGAUUUUAUGCUUUAUAAAAUUUAUAUAUAAUAUAAAUUUUUCACCUUUUGAUGAAUCGUUAAUAAGUUAAUAAAAUUCAUAGAAUUUAAA